rnacentral:rRNA from 1 species
UACGUAGGGUGCAAGCGUUGUCCGGAAUUAUUGGGCGUAAAGAGCUCGUAGGCGGUCUGUUGCGUCCGCUGUGAAAACUCGGGGGCUUAACCCCGAGCCUGCAGUGGAUACGGGCAGACUAGAGGUAGGUAGGGGAGAAUGGAAUUCCCGGUGUAGCGGUGAAAUGCGCAGAUAUCGGGAGGAACACCGGUGGCGAAGGCGGUUCUCUGGGCCUUACCUGACGCUGAGGAGCGAAAGCGUGGGGAGCGAACAGG